rnacentral:rRNA from 1 species
UACGUAGGGUCCGAGCGUUGUCCGGAGUUAUUGGGCGUAAAGGGCUCGUAGGCGGUCCGUCACGUCGGGAGUGAAAACUCAGGGCUCAACCCUGAGCGUGCUUCCGAUACGGGCGGACUAGAGGUAUGCAGGGGAGAACGGAAUUCCUGGUGUAGCGGUGGAAUGCGCAGAUAUCAGGAGGAACACCAAUGGCGAAGGCAGCACUCUGGGACGUGACUGACGCUGAGACGCGAAAGCGUGGGGAGCAAACAGG